AAACAUCCACAAUUUCGUCUGUUAUAAGCACAAUGAUAAUCAUCACUGUAAACUGUAUCAGUUUUAGGUUACUCAUAAGUUCAAAAGCAUGAAACAUCUUACAAAUGGUUGAUCACAGGUGCCUACACUGGAAACCAUAAUCACCUUAUUAUUUUAUAGAUGAUGAACAAACAGAUGAAAUGGGGAUCAACUGCUUAGUUCAGUAUGACGCUCGUGGGGAAAAUCUUGACAUAUCGAAAGUAUUUCGUCAUCACGUCAGAAAUCUUCCAAAACGUCGCCCUUUCCAUGUGUGCCACGACUUUCUCCAUCAGUGUCACUUUGAACGAGGCAGUUGCUACCAAAUUCACCUUGUCAUCAUUCAGGAUCAGCACAUCGUCCCAGACCAGCAUAACAAUACAUAUCCUGUAACUUGUCAUCCUAAUAACUUGAUUCUUUUUUAGACUCUUGUUUCUCUACAGAAGUUUGGUGUUUUUCCACCUGAUUUUUUAUUUAGAUCUUAAAAAUAUAUAAAUUUAGUCUACUGUGUCACAUUUCUUUAUACUUUCCGCUAAGCCUACCUGAGUUGAUUUCAGUAACUUACUUCCGAUUUUCCAGGUUGUAGAUUACAGCUCCUACUCAGGAUACGGUCAGACCGGAUAUCCUUACUAUCCUAAUCAAAGUUACGGGGCUUAUUUACCUACUGUAAGCGGUAAAUCAACGUUAGGACUGACCGGCUCAUCUUCCGGAACAUAUCAACUUUCAUCUCUUCCUGCUCUUAUAAAUGGAGAGAGUCUACAGUACACAGAGAACGGUGUACCUCCUAAAGAAGUCGACAUGUCAAAUGUUGGUAAGAAAAACUCGAGUAAAAAUGGUCGUAGUCGAGGUCGACGUCAGACCAACCCAUCCCCUGACCCUGACAAUAACUUGGAACGCGUGUUUGUAUGGGAUCUGGACGAAACCAUCAUCGUGUUCCAUUCUCUCUUAACAGGAUCUUUUGCUGCUCGUUAUG